GCUGGGCGUGGUGGCUCACACCUGUAAUCCCAGCACUUUGGGAGGCCGAGGCGGGUGGAUCACCUGAGGUCAGGAGUUCAAGACCAGCCUGGCCAACAUGGUGAAACCCCGUCUCUA
rnacentral:SRP_RNA from 1 species